CCUACCGAGUGCUGUGUGUCAGGCAUUGUGGUAAAAGGUCUAUGUUCAUCGUCAACUCUUAGCCUCAUAAUAGCUUAUGUGGUAUUAUUACCCUCAUUUUACAGACGGAUCAUUUAAAGCUUAGAGGAGUUAAACCACCCAAGAUCACACGACUGGAGAGUGGUGAUCUAAGCAAAUUAGAGGUGAAAGAGGUACAGACUGCAGAGAAAGAAAUCUAGAAUGAGUUCACAGCUAUGCCCCAUGUGAUACAUACAUUAUAACCGCCGUCUGGAGCAUUCUCCCUGCUAAAACCAGCAGCCAAUAUUUCAGAUUGACUCAAACUGGAAGACAGAGAGAGGAAAUACGUGCAAACACAAGCUGGGAAUCCUUCCAAGACGUUCAGCUCUGCCUGCCUACAAUCCAUAUCUGCUCUGUAAACAACCAUGGCUGCUCCCUUGGAAAAUAAGCACCAACUUGGAGUCUAAAGUAAUGAAGUGAUUUCUUCAUCAAGAAACAAACUGAAAAGGAAAAUAUCAGCCUAUUAAAAUUUAA